rnacentral:SRP_RNA from 1 species
GCUGGGCUUGGAGGCAUGUGCUUGUAGCCCUAGCUACUUGAAAGGCUGAGGAGGGAGGAUUGCUUGAGCCCAGGAGUUCUGAGCUGUAGUGAGCUAUGCCAAUUGGCAUCAAUAUGGUGACCUCCCUGGCACAGGGGACCACCAGGUUGCAUGAGGAGCAGUGAACCAGCUCAGGUUGGAAAUGGAGCAGGUCAAAAUUCCCAUGAUGAUCAGUACUGAGAUCAUGCCUGUGAAUACCCAUUACACUUCAGCCUGGACAACAUAGCAAGAACCUCUCUCU